rnacentral:rRNA from 1 species
GAUGAACGCUGGCGGCGUGCCUAAUACAUGCAAGUCGAGCGAACAGACGAGGAGCUUGCUCCUUUGACGUUAGCGGCGGACGGGUGAGUAACACGUAGGUAACCUACCUAUAAGACUGGGAUAACUUCGGGAAACCGGAGCUAAUACCGGAUAAUAUUUCGAACCGCAUGGUUCGAUAGUGAAAGACGGCUUUGCUAUCACUUAUAGAUGGACCUGCGCCGCAUUAGCUAGUUGGUAAGGUAACGGCUUACCAAGGCAACGAUGCGUAGCCGACCUGAGAGGGUGAUCGGCCACACUGGAACUGAGACACGGUCCAGACUCCUACGGGAGGCAGCAGUAGGGAAUCUUCCGCAAUGGGCGAAAGCCUGACGGAGCAACGCCGCGUGAGUGAUGAAGGUCUUCGGAUCGUAAAACUCUGUUAUUAGGGAAGAACAAAUGUGUAAGUAACUGUGCACGUCUUGACGGUACCUAAUCAGAAAGCCACGGCUAACUACGUG